rnacentral:pre_miRNA from 1 species
AAAGUACUUCCUCCGUCCCAAAAUUAUUGUCUUAUAUUUGUCUAGAUAUGAAUGUAUCUAGUCAUGUUUUAGUAUUUUGAUACAUCCAUUUCUAAAUAAACCUAAGACAAGAAUUUUGAAACGAAGUGAGGAUAUG